UGGUGGAGUGAUUUGUCUGCUUAAUUGCGAUAACGAACGAGACCUUAACCUACUAAAUAGCUACGCGAUUCUUUUGUAAUCGUGGCGAGCUUCUUAGAGGGACUCUUGCGCGUUAAGCCAAGGGAAGUUUGAGGCAAUAACA
rnacentral:rRNA from 1 species